AGGAGGAACAACCCCAGUGGCGGCGGCAGCUCUGCAGCCCUGGAGUCAGCUCCCGCAGUAACUACAGAGCUCUCCGUCUGCAGGGCCUGGAGGCUCCGUGCGGGG
rnacentral:pre_miRNA from 1 species